rnacentral:ncRNA from 1 species
AAUUCAUGUGUGGAUUUGAUUUGAAGCACCACAACUAACAAAUUCGACUCCAAACAUAACAUCACACGUGCAUAUAGAACUAAAUGCAGGAGUUCUUUUUUACUGUGUUUAAUUUGUCUAGUCAAAGCAUCUACAGCCGGACUUGGCAAAUAAGGGUUGGGUUGUUCGCCCAUUAAUGCGGUACGUGAGCUGGGUUCGGAACUUCGUGAGACAGUUGGGUCUAUAUCCGGUGUGGGCGUUAGAGCAUUGAGAGGACCUUUCCCUAAUACGGGAGGACCGGGAAGGAUGCAUCUCUGGUGUACUAGUUAUCAUGCCUACGGUAAACGUUGGGUAGCCAAGUACGCAGAGGAUAACUGUUGAAAGCAUAUAAGUAGUAAGCCCAUCCCAAGAUGAGUGCUCUCUCCUCUGACUUCUCUAGAGCCUCCG